CUCCGUUUCCCCACCUCCACGAAGCAGUAUUCCUCUCCUUCCCAUCAGCGGAGUUCCUUGGGAAUAAAAUCGUGGUCUCCUCCAUGUGGUGAAAAUCACAUACUCCUCCAUCUGGUGCGAUUUGAGUAAUAUGGAGCAGCAUCGUUGUGGCCUGUCCGCAUCCUGUUGAUUGUACACCACGCUGAGGGCCUAAGGCGACCACAAAAUCCAGGUGACAAGUACGCCCAACUCUCCUCCUGAAGUCAGCCACCUUCCACUCGGAUCUACACGUCUAGGUUAUCUGAGGUUGAAGACAAGACCAACUGAAUUUACUCUAUGUCUCUGGUUAUUUAGAUUCUUAGUAAGCAACAAAAGCCUAUCAUACAUUUGCACCACUCAGCAUGUUUACAUUGUUGUCACCCAUGUUACCUAGAUCAUAGUUUGUAGACGAGACAUUAAUAUAGUAAUAUUGCACAUAGUGAUGUUUCCAUAGAGGAUUGCCUAAAAUUAGUUUUCAUUCAUCCUUUUCCAAGACGAAAGCUCGAUAUUACUUUGUUUUUCUCUUCUAUAAUCCCAGAGGUAAUGUCUCAUGCCUGAAGUAGCAAGAGAAGUCCAAUUGAAAAGUGCAAGGAGGUUUUUGCACUUCUCUUCUAUUAGGAGAUCAUACUGAAUAUGAAUCACCAAUAAACGCCUUCCUUAUGCAGGCUCCUAUUCUUAUUUAUUAUCGCACUGCUCUCUAUUCUCCAAUUUAGUCCAUGUUGUCUGCAGACCUAAAUAUGCAAGAUGUAUUCAAUUUAAUGUCUGUGUUACGGCUCUCCAUUGUCACCACCGCCCCGUUCAAUCGGUGGAGACGAGUUUGAUCCGGCAGCCAAUGACGCAUGCCUCACAAUUCCUUCUCCAAUUGAUCUAGCAAGAAGGUGGAGAAGCCACCUGUGUUUCUCAUUGGUGUUGGCCUCACACGUAUCUGUGUUGAUUUGAUCUUGAACAAAAGCAAGGCUGAGAAGAACAUGAAGAACUCCACUGAUUGAUUUCCAUUGGGGCUGGAUCGCCGCUUCCUCUCGAUCCAAUCUGCCAUGGACGAGUUUGCCGGAGCCCCCAUCUUACCUCCUGAACCGCCUUCAAGGCAGUUGUUUCAUUUUACGUCAUGCAGGUGAUUCAAAGCCCAAAAUGUUUGCUAUCGGCAACACCGAGGUAGCCAAUCCAUGUAGCGCAACAUUGGCAUGUCGCCUUCUACUCUCGAUUCGCCCGAUACUGCACCAGUCUCAUGUGCUGCUUGAGAAAUACAUGUGUAUGAUAUCACCGGCUGCCUACACCAAUGUCACAACCUCACAAGGUAAAGCUGCAGUGAACAUUCCUUUGGUCAUUGAUUUUCCGCAUUACUUCUAAUGCAAAAUUUUAUGCUGCCAUGGUGGCGUCAUUUAUUUUAAGGUAUGUGUUUGUUUAAAUUUAACCUUAAUUAUUUAUAACUCGAGAUACCCAGGUAAUCUUAUUUUUACAUCUCACAAUGUACAUCUUUCAUGAUAAAAUUAUACCAGUACGUAUACGUAGUAUUGAUGUUUUAGUCUAAAUAUUCAUAUAUUAUAUAUAGGGCAAGCGAAAACGUAGUGGAGUGGACAAGCUUAAUCACUAUCAUCUAGGACCAUGACGAGGUUGGGAUGUCCAUAAAGUAUCAAUUCAUGGUCCUUGGGCUUGGUCUGAAUUAACUUGGAAGCUAACGUAAGCAUCAACAUGUAUAUGGUCUUUGUGUAAUAGAUAGGGCCGACCUAAGCAUCAACCUGUAUAUGGUCUUUGUAUUUUACUGUUUUCCAUCUUCUACUUUUGAAUCCCUUUUUUAAUUGUUCUGCCAUCAUACCUUCCAAGUUAAAGACAAGGUCAACUGAAUUUACUCUAUGUCUCUGGUUAUGUUGAUUCUUAGUAGGAAGCAACACAAGUCUUUCAUACAUUUGCACCACUUGCAUGCUUUUCAUUGUUGUCACCCAUAUGCUUAGAUUAUAGUUUGUAGCCGGGAUAUCAGUGCAUGCUUCUGCUAUUGCACAUUAUGAUGGUUCCAUAGCUGAUUGCCUAAAAUUAGUUUUGAGUCACCCUUUUCCAUGGCGAAAGCUUGAUAUUACUUUGAUUUCCCCUUCUAUAAUCCCAGAGGUUAUGUCUCAUUUCUGAAGUAGCAAGAGGAGUCCAACUAAAAAGAAUAAGGAAGUUUUUGCAUUUCUCUUCUUCUAUUGUGGUCCAUAAGAUACCAGCCUUGGUAUCCAUCUCCUCUUCUCUUCUCUCAAUGUACUUUUCUUUGAUGAGCAAAAACAUUUUUUUAGCUAAAAAUUAGCCGACACAUUCACUGUGCAGUGGCUUCCACCGACUCUUUGCCUUCAAACACAAAUAUCUUACUGUACAUUGUUUUUGAGGAACGUAACAUUUGUAAAAUCUGAUGUACAAAAUGAUAAUUGAAAAAAGGAAAUAUUACUACCUUUCUUUAAAUGCAUUUUUAUAAGGUCUAAAUUAUAAUUGAAUUACCUCCGAAAAGAAAAAACUUUGCACGUCUUAUUUUCAAUUUCAAUCUGGAACUGUCAUGUUAGAUCCCACAGGAAUAUGCAAGCAUGUACCAAUGAUUUCAGUCUAGCAUGUCACGUAUGCGUCGAUCAAAAAAUAUCUAAAGAAUCACAUAAUCUCUCUUAUGUUAUGGAUAAUAUAGAUCUGGAUAAACUUCAACUAAGUUUAUCAGUUUUUUGGCAACCAUAUAUGUACAUUUAAAGAUUCUAAUUAUUCCUAAUUUUAACUGAAGAUAAAUCCCAUCUUCCCUGUAAUUUAGUCGGUAACCAUGAGAAACCAUUAAAAACAAUAUGUCCAAGAGAAAAUAACUUUCUUAUAAUUUGUAUGUUGUCUGCUAUCUGAGAUAAAGCUUCAAUGAAUUUAGCUCUCAUUUUGCGUGUAGGUUUGUGGGUAACCAUGAAAAACCAUUAAAAUAAUAUCUCCAAACGGAAACAACUUUGCUAUUUGAUAUUAAGUUAGCCCGUGCGCAUGCACGGGUGGGCGACUAGUGCUUCUAAUUAGGGUAAAUUGCAUCUGCUUAGUUUACACAUUAUACCUGUGAAUAUGACAUGCUUUCCUAUUUUUGGUACACACUACAUCUAUGUGUU